rnacentral:lncRNA from 1 species
GAGUCCUUUUUUCCCUUCUACCACCUUCAUCUCAUAUCCAAACUCUGACACUGGAAAUGCAUUUGACAGUUAAAGCUAUCAGAGGCAUUUUUUAGGCUCUAUACGACCAACCACCUAUCAUUUUUAUUUACAGGCAGUGUUUCGUAAUUGUUAAACACGAUGAAUCAUUUGAAAAAACAGUGCCUCCUCUACAAAGCAUAUGAUGAGUGUUCAGAUCACACAUGACAAGUCCUCGAGUGGUAAGGUCCUCCAGCCCUAUCUACGCCAUGUGAACUGGCGAGCACCAGCGCUGCAGGAUCUGUCUUGGGGAAAAUUCGUUCCUGGAUGAAUAGUGACGGGAAAGAGUUCAAGCCAGGGUCCCCUCUCCCUUUAGUGAGGAAUUAGCAGAAUGAAUCCAUCUACACUUUUCUAGUGACUACCUACUUUGUAA